AUGUCCAUGGACAUCAGCAAGUGGGCUGGGCUGCUGAGCCUGCAGGAGGUGGAUGAGCCGCCCCAGCACCCGCUGCGGGUCUCCUACGCCGGGGUGGAGGUGGACGAGUUGGGCAAAGUGCUGACGCCUACCCAGGUUAAGAACAGACCCAGCAACAUCGCGUGGGACGGCCUUGACCUGGGGAAACUGUACACCUUGGUCCUCACAGACCCGGAUGCUCCCAGCAGGAAAGACCCCUAAUACAGGGAGUGGCACCAUUUUCUGGUGGUCAACAUGAAGGGCAACGACAUCAGCAGUGAAACCAUCCUCUCAGACUAUGUGGGCUCCGGGCCUCCCAGUGGCACAGGCCUCCAUCGCUAUGUCUGACUGGUGUAUGAGCAGGACAAGCUGCUGAAGUGCAAUGAGCCCGUUCUCAGCAACCGGUCUGGAGACCACUGUGGCAAGUUCAAGGUGGCGUCGUUCCACAAGAAGUACCACCUUGGAGCCCCGGUGGCGGGCACGUGUUACCAGGCUGAGUGGGACGACUAAUUCCCAAGCUGUAUGAGCAGCGUCUGGGAAGUAGGGGCCACAGUGCCUGCACGGUCCUGGGGACACCGCAGUGUUGUCAGGUUCAACAAUGCAUGUCAUUCCUCCUCAUUCCCACCCCUCCCCACAUGGGUCCUGAGCUGUUAGGAUAG